rnacentral:rRNA from 1 species
GACGAACGCUGGCGGCGUGCUUAACACAUGCAAGUCGAACGGAAAGGCCCCAGCUUGCUGGGGUACUCGAGUGGCGAACGGGUGAGUAACACGUGGGUGAUCUGCCCUGCACUCUGGGAUAAGCCUGGGAAACUGGGUCUAAUACCGGAUAGGACCGUGCUUUAGUGUGUGCGGUGGAAAGUUUUUCGGUGCAGGAUGAGCCCGCGGCCUAUCAGCUUGUUGGUGGGGUAAUGGCCUACCAAGGCGGCGACGGGUAGCCGGCCUGAGAGGGUGUACGGCCACAUUGGGACUGAGACACGGCCCAGACUCCUACGGGAGGCAGCAGUGGGGAAUAUUGCACAAUGGGCGCAAGCCUGAUGCAGCGACGCCGGGUGGGGGAUGACGGCCUUCGGGUUGUAAACCCCUUUCGGCAGGGACGAAGCCUUUGUGAGGGUACCUGCAUAAGAGGCACCGGCUAACUACGU